UGAUUAAGAGAACACAAUCGAAU
rnacentral:miRNA from 2 species